UGCCAGCAGCCGCGGUAAUACGGGGGGUGCAAGCGUUGUCCGGAAUCAUUGGGCGUAAAGGGUUCGUAGGUGGAAUUGUAAGUCUGGUGUGAAAGCCCACAGCUUAACUGUGGAACUGCACUGGAUACUGCUUUUCUUGAAUUACAGAGGGGGUUGUGGAAUUUCUGGUGUAGAGGUGAAAUUUGUAGAGAUCAGAAAGAACACCGGUGGCGAAGGCGACAACCUGGCUGUUAAUUGACACUGAGGAACGAAAGCGUGGGGAGCGAACAGGAUUAGAUA
rnacentral:rRNA from 1 species